rnacentral:rRNA from 1 species
AACCUCCGCAAUGUGAGAAAUCGCGACGGGGGGAUCCCAAGUGCCAUUCCUAACGGGAUGGCUUUUCAUUAGUGUAAAGAGCUUUUGGAAUAAGGGCUGGGCAAGACCGGUGCCAGCCGCCGCGGUAACACCGGCAGCUCUAGUGGUAGCAGUUUUUAUUGGGCCUAAAGCGUCCGUAGCCGGUUUAAUAAGUCUCUGGUGAAAUCCUGUAGCUUAACUGUGGGAAUUGCUGGAGAUACUAUUAGACUUGAGACCGGGAGAGGUUAGAGGUACUCCCAGGGUAGAGGUGAAAUUCUGUAAUCCUGGGAGGACCGCCUGUUGCGAAGGCGUCUAACUGGAACGGUUCUGACGGUGAGGGACGAAAGUUAGGGGCGCGAACCGGAUUAGAUACCCGGGUAGUCCUAACCGUAAACGAUGCGGACUUGGUGUUGGGGUGGCUUUGAGCUGCUCCAGUGCCGAAGGGAAGCUGUUAAGUCCGCCGCCUGGGAAGUACGGUCGCAAGACUGAAACUUAAAGGAAUU